rnacentral:rRNA from 1 species
GAUCCUGGCUCAGGAUGAACGCUAGCUACAGGCUUAACACAUGCAAGUCGAGGGGAAACGAUAUUGGAAGCUUGCUUCCGAUAGGCGUCGACCGGCGCACGGGUGAGUAACGCGUAUCCAACCUGCCCAUCACUUGGGAAUAACCUUGCGAAAGUAAGACUAAUGCCCAAUGACAUUUAUAGAAGGCAUCUGAAAUAGAAUUAAAGAAUUUAUUCGGUGAUGGAUGGGGAGUGCGU